CCAGCUCCAAUAGCGUAUAUUAAAGUUGUUGCAGUUAAAAAGCUCGUAGUUGAACUUCUGACGGUAAAGUCAGCUGGCUUCGGUCGCUGUCUUUGCGGUCAUCCGCUAGGGAACUACGUUCGAACUUCACUGUUCGGCGUAAGGAACUGGCAUUUUACUUUGAAAAAAUUAGAGUGUUCAAGGCAGGCUAUUGCUCUGAAUACACAAGCAUGGAAUAAUGAAAUAGGACUACUUCCAUUUUAUUGGUUAUUGGAAAUAGUAAUGAUUAACAGGGACAGUUGGGGGCAUUAGUAUUUAAUAGUCAGAGGUGAAAUUCUUGGAUUUAUUAAAGACUAACUUAUGCGAAAGCAUUUGCCAAGGAUGUUUUCA
rnacentral:rRNA from 1 species